rnacentral:rRNA from 1 species
UACGUAGGGGGCUAGCGUUGUCCGGAUUUAUUGGGCGUAAAGAGCGUGUAGGCGGCCAGGUAGGUCUGCUGUGAAAACUCGAGGCUCAACCUCGAGACGUCGGCGGAAACCAUCUGGCUAGAGUCCGGAAGAGGAGAGUGGAAUUCCUGGUGUAGCGGUGAAAUGCGCAGAUAUCAGGAAGAACACCCGUGGCGAAGGCGGCUCUCUGGGACGGUACUGACGCUGAGGCGCGAAAGCUAGGGGAGCGAACAGG